CCAUUUGUAGUGUGCUUUUCGCAGAUUCAGCCAUUUCGUCGCCGCCUUUGUUGACGGCGACGAAUUGGAAAGGAUCCGAGGAUUUCUGUCCCGGUCCUCGUAGCAUUUUUGCUCCGGGUCUGCAAAUUUCAUUUACUAAGAAAAUAUAA
ensembl:ncRNA F28F5.10 ncRNA